rnacentral:rRNA from 1 species
AUACGGAGGAUCCGAGCGUUAUCCGGAUUUAUUGGGUUUAAAGGGUGCGCAGGCGGCCAUUUAAGUCAGCGGUUAAGUCGUGGGGCUCAACCCCAUUCUGCCGUUGAUACUGGGUGGCUCGAUUGCGGUCGAGGUUGGCGGAAUUCGUUGUGUAGCGGUGAAAUGCAUAGAUAUGACGAAGAACACCGAUUGCGUAGGCAGCUGACCAGAUCGCAAAUGACGCUCAUGCACGAAAGUGCGGGGAUCGAACAGGAUUAGAUACCCUGGUAGUCCGCACAGUAAACGAUGAAUACUUGUUUUCGGCGAUAUAAUGUCGGAGGCAAAGCGAAAGCGAUAAGUAUUCCACCUGGGGAGUACGCCGGCAACGGUGAAACUCAAAGGAAUUGACGGGG